GACAGAGGGUGCAAACGUUGUUCGGAAUGACUGGGCGUAAAGGGCGCGUAGGCGGCUCAUACAGUCAGGCGUGAAAUUCCUGGGCUCAACCUGGGGACUGCGCUUGAGACGUGUGGGCUUGAGUGGGGAAGAGGGUCGUGGAAUUCCCAGUGUAGAGGUGAAAUUCGUAGAUAUUGGGAAGAACACCGGUGGCGAAGGCGGCGACCUGGUCCUUGACUGACGCUGAGGCGCGAAAGCGUGGGGAGCAAACAGG
rnacentral:rRNA from 1 species